CACGUAGUUAGCCGGGGCUUUCUCGUGAGGUACCGUCACCGCGCCGCCUUAUUCAAACGGCGCUCCUUCGUCCCUCACAACAGAGCUUUACGACCCGAAGGCCCUCUUCGCUCACGCGGCGUCGCUCCGUCAGACUUUCGUCCAUUGCGGAAGAUUCCCUACUGCUGCCUCCCGUAGGAGUCUGGGCCGUGUCUCAGUCCCAGUGUGGCCGGUCACCCUCUCAGGCCGGCUACGCAUCGUCGCCUUGGUGAGCCGUUACCUCACCAACUAGCUAAUGCGCCGCGGGCCCAUCCGCAAGUGACAGCCGAAGCCGCCUUUCAACCAAAGACCAUGCGGUCUUUGGUGUUAUCCGGUAUUAGCUCCGGUUUCCCGGAGUUAUCCCGGUCUUGCGGGCAGGUUGCCCACGUGUUACUCACCCGUCCGCCGCUGGCCAAACAAGAGCAAGCUCUCGUUCGGUCCGCUCGACUUGCAUGUAUUAGGCACGCCGCCAGCGUCGUCUCGAGCCGCGAGUCAACUAC
rnacentral:rRNA from 1 species